rnacentral:rRNA from 1 species
UACGAAGGGUGCAAGCGUUAGUCGGAAUUACUGGGCGUAAAGCGUGCGUAGGUGGUUUCUUAAGUCCGUUGUGAAAGCCCCGGGCUCAACCUGGGAAUUGCAUUCGAGACUGAAUAGCUAGGGUACGGUAGAGGGAAGCGGAAUUUCCGGUGUAGCGGUGAAAUGCGUAGAUAUCGGAAGGAACAUCAGUGGCGAAAGCGGCUUCCUGGACCAGUACCGACGUUCAGGCACGAAAGCGUGGGGAGCAAACAGG